UGGGGGAUAUUGCACAAUGGGGGGAACCCUGAUGCAGCGACGCCGCGUGGGUGAAGGAGCGUUUCGGCGCGUAAAGCCCUAUCGGCAGGGAAGAAGACGACGGUACCUGACCAAGAAGCCCCGGCUAACUACGUGCCAGCAGCCGCGGUAAUACGUAGGGGGCAAGCGUUAUCCGGAUUUACUGGGUGUAAAGGGGGCGCAGACGGCAAUGCAAGCCAGGAGUGAAAGCCCGGGGCCCAACCCCGGGACUGCUCUUGGAACUGCAUGGCUGGAGUACAGGAGGGGCAGGCGGAAUUCCUAGUGUAGCGGUGAAAUGCGUAGAUAUUAGGAGGAACACCGGUGGCGAAGGCGGCCUGCUGGACUGUGACUGACGUUGAGGCCCGAAGGCGUGGGGAGCAAACAGGAUUAGAUACCC
rnacentral:rRNA from 1 species